UAGGGAAUCUUCCACAAUGGGCGAAAGCCUGAUGGAGCAACGCCGCGUGUGUGAUGAAGGCUUUAGGGUCGUAAAGCACUGUUGUAUGGGAAGAAAUGCUAGAACAGGGAAUGAUUCUAGUUCGACGGUACCAUACCAGAAAGGGACGGCUAAAUACGUGCCAGCAGCCGCGGUAAUACGUAUGUCCCGAGCGUUAUCCGGAUUUAUUGGGCGUAAAGCGAGCGCAGACGGUUGAUUAAGUCUGAUGUGAAAGCCCGGAGCUCAACUCCGGAAUGGCAUUGGAAACUGGUUAACUUGAGUGUUGUAGAGGUAAGUGGAACUCCAUGUGUAGCGGUGGAAUGCGUAGAUAUAUGGAAGAACACCAGUGGCGAAGGCGGCUUACUGGACAACAACUGACGUUGAGGCUCGAAAGUGUGGGUAGCAAACAGGAUUAGAUACCCUGGUAGUCCACACCGUAAACGAUGAAUACUAGGUGUUAGGAGGUUUCCGCCUCUUAGUGCCGAAGCUAACGCAUUAAGUAUUCCGCCUGGGGAGUACGACCGCAAGGUUG
rnacentral:rRNA from 1 species